AUUGAACGCUGGCGGCAGGCCUAACACAUGCAAGUCGAACGGUAACAUUUCUAGCUUGCUAGAAGAUGACGAGUGGCGGACGGGUGAGUAAUGCUUGGGAACUUGCCUUCAGGAGGGGGAUAACAGUUGGAAACGACUGCUAAUACCGCAUAACGUCUACGGACCAAAGCGGGCUCCGGCUCGCACCUGAAGAGAGGCCCAAGUGAGAUUAGCUAGUUGGUAAGGUAAAGGCUUACCAAGGCGACGAUCUCUAGCUGUUCUGAGAGGAAGAUCAGCCACACUGGGACUGAGACACGGCCCAGACUCCUACGGGAGGCAGCAGUGGGGAAUAUUGCACAAUGGGGGAAACCCUGAUGCAGCCAUGCCGCGUGUGUGAAGAAGGCCUUCGGGUUGUAAAGCACUUUCAGUUGUGAGGAAAGGUUGGUAGUUAAUACCUGCCAGCUGUGACGUUAACAACAGAAGAAGCACCGGCUAACUCCGUGCCAGCAGCCGCGGUAAUACGGAGGGUGCGAGCGUUAAUCGGAAUUACUGGGCGUAAAGCGCACGCAGGCGGUUUGUUAAGCUAGAUGUGAAAGCCCCGGGCUCAACCUGGGAUGGUCAUUUAGAACUGGCAGACUAGAGUCUUGGAGAGGGGAGUGGAAUUCCAGGCGUAGCGGUGAAAUGCGUAGAUAUCUGGAGGAACAUCAGUGGCGAAAGCGGCUCCCUGGCCAAAGACUGACGCUCAUGUGCGAAAGUGUGGGUAGCGAACAGGAUUAGAUACCCUGGUAGUCCACACCGUAAACGCUGUCUACUAGCUGUGUGUGAAUUUAAUUCGUGCGUAGCGAAGCUAACGCGCUAAGUAGACCGCCU
rnacentral:rRNA from 1 species